UUCUCCAAAUGAUUUAUUUCAAAUAAAACAUUAAAAUGAAUAGACUAAAGGUUUACACUUGUGUUUAUAAUAACAAUAACCAGGCCUCGAGCUUUAAUCUUCUCAAAUUGGAAGAUUUAAAUAUGCAAACAGGAACAUGACCCCAAUGAAGGAAACCAAAGGGGAAAAAAGGGAGAAAAAGAAGACCACGGUAAAGCCUAGCAUUAAAGAAAUCCAUCCACAGUCAUCGCAAUCCUACAAACAUG
rnacentral:misc_RNA from 1 species